ACAAACUUGGUCAUUUAGAGGAAGUAAAAGUCGUAACAAGGUCUCCGUUGGUGAACCAGCGGAGGGAUCAUUACUGAGUUCUAGCAACUCCCAACCCUGUGAACUAUACCAUUUUUGUUCUCGUUGCUUCUGGCAGGCGGCGGCCCUCUCUGGAGGGCGCGGCCUGCCUGCCAGAGGCGGCUUGCACGAACCUUCUAUUUUUCUUACCUGACCGUCUGAGUACGAUUUUGAAUCAAAUCAAAACUUUCAACAACGGAUCUCUUGGCUCUGGCAUCGAUGAAGAACGCAGC
rnacentral:misc_RNA from 1 species